GUGAAUCAUCGAAUUUUUGAACGCACAUUGCGCUUCCUGGCAUCCCGGGGAGUAUGCCUGUUUGAGGGUCAGUUAAAUCAUAAACGGUGUUGUUGCUGCUUUUUGUUGUGACGCGUCGGAAUUGAGUUGUCUUACCUUUGGUUAAGUGACUUACAAUUGUGCAUGAUUGUCUGUCGUGUUU
rnacentral:misc_RNA from 1 species